rnacentral:rRNA from 1 species
GACGAACGCUGGCGGCGUGCUUAACACAUGCAAGUCGAGCGGAAAGGCUCCUUCGGGGGUACUCGAGCGGCGAACGGGUGAGUAACACGUGAGUAAUCUGCCCUUGGCUUCGGGAUAGCCACCGGAAACGGUGAUUAAUACCGGAUACGACAACGUCUCGCAUGGGAUGGUUGUGGAAAGUUUUUUCGGCCAGGGAUGUGCUCGCGGCCUAUCAGCUUGAUGGUGAGGUAAUGGCUCACCAAGGCUUCGACGGGUAGCCGGCCUGAGAGGGUGACCGGUCACACUGGGACUGAGACACGGCCCAGACUCCUACAGGAGGCAGCAGUUUGGAAUAUUGGACAAUGGGCGAAAGCCUGAUCCAGCGACGCCGCGUGGACGAUGACGGCCUUCGGGUUGUAAAGUCCUUUUGGCAGGGAACAAUAAUUUGAGCGUACCUGCAGAAUAAGUGGUUGCUAACUCUGUGCCAGCCGCCGCCGUAA